rnacentral:lncRNA from 12 species
GGUUUGUUUCUUUCCCCGGGGGGGUGGGGGGGUAUCCUGGGCGGGAAAGUUUUCCUUGGUUUUGGGGGGGGGGGUUUGGGUGAUUUUUUUUUUAUCGGUUUCCCCCCCCCCCCCCCCCCGCGCCGCUUUCUGGAGCUCUUGGGGUUUGCACGGAAAUUUCUGCUCUCGCACUGACAUCUCCGCAGAGACAUCCCCUCGGCCCCCCUCCGGGCGGCCCCCCGCGGGACAGACCCUCCGCCGGGGUGGGGGUGGGGGUGGGGGGCCCGUCGCCCUAACCUCCGCCCUCGUGGCCGCCCCGGGGCCCGUUACCCCGGGAGGGAGCGCUGCCGCCACUGUUGAGUCGGGCGGUUCUGAAAGUGAGCGGCCUCGGGCUCCACACCGAGAACUUUGAUUACACCUCGUGGUCCUGUGUUAGCUUCUCUCCGGGGCGAACAGGGGGCCCCGAGUGCCUUCGCGUGCAGGAGCUCGGGCGCCCUCGCCGCGUGGUGCCGUGACUGUGCCCGCGCGUGUACUACCCGCGCCCCCCGCGCCCCGCGCCCCGCGCCCCGCCGGGGGUCACCUGACCGCGCCGAGGGCCGCCCCCUCCCGAGCGGGGGAGCCCCGGAGCGAGCGGCCGGCGCCCGCGGCGGGCGGGGUGCGCGGGGCGAUGGGCAGGCCCCCGGCGGGGCGGGCGGCGCGGAGGCUGCAGGUGGGGGCUGCGGCGGGCGGGCCGAGCGCCGCGCGCCUCGUCUGCGAGAGGAGGGAAAACAAAAGCGUCCGCGGCGGUUCGGUGGCUGCGCGCGGCUCGACGAGGCAGAGCCCGGGGCGCGUGCGGGGGGCGCGGAGGCCGGGCCGCGGCUGCUCUGCUCGCGCCCGGGGCCGCCGACGGGAGGACGGGGCGCGCCGGCACAGGUGGUCCGCGGCGAGCCGGAGCGAGGAGCAUGGCCAGGUGCGGCGGGACGAGCGGGCCCCGGGCCUCGCGGGCGCCCGGCUCCAGCCAUAACACAAAGACAACAUCAUGGCUGGAUCCUCGACUUGCGAAAAAGGCUAAACCUCCAGAAGAGUGCAAAGAGAAUGGAAACUGCCGGAUAUCACAUCUCUGUCAUCUCUGUUGGUUCUAUGUGA